rnacentral:rRNA from 1 species
UACGGGGGGGCAAGCGUUGUUCGGAAUUACGUGGGCGUAAAGGGCUCGUAGGCGGCCAACUAAGUCGGAUGUGAAAUCCCCAGGCUCAACUUGGGAACUGCAUCCGAUACUGGAUGGCUUGAAUCCGGGAGAGGGAUGCGAGAAUUCCAGGUGUAGCGGUGAAAUGACGUAGAUAUCUGGAGGAAUACCGGAUGGCGAAGGCGGCAUCCUGGACCGGCAUUGACGCUGAUGAGCGAAAGCUAGGGGAGCAAAGCGGG